UGGCGGACGGGUGAGUAAUGUCUGGGAAACUGCCCGAUGGAGGGGGAUAACUACUGGAAACGGUAGCUAAUACCGCAUAACGUCGCAAGACCAAAGAGGGGGACCUUAGGGCCUCUUGCCAUCGGAUGUGCCCAGAUGGGAUUAACUAGUAGGUGGGGUAAUGGCUCACCUAGGCGACGAUCCCUAGCUGGUCUGAGAGGAUGACCAGCCACACUGGAACUGAGACACGGUCCAG
rnacentral:rRNA from 1 species